GUAACUUUGAGUUUGAGGGGUAUUCAAGCACAAAAUCUCCUUUGUUGAAAACCUCCAGAGCAAGCACACCUCGACCUUAAAAAAAAAAAAAAA